rnacentral:rRNA from 1 species
CCUACGGGUGGCAGCAGUGGGGAAUAUUGGACAAUGGGCGAAAGCCUGAUCCAGCCAUGCCGCGUGUGUGAAGAAGGCCUUCGGGUUGUAAAGCACUUUCAGUGGGGAAGAAAGCCUUGGGGCUAAUACCCUCGAGGAAGGACAUCACCCACAGAAGAAGCACCGGCUAACUCCGUGCCAGCAGCCGCGGUAAUACGGAGGGUGCGAGCGUUAAUCGGAAUUACUGGGCGUAAAGCGCGCGUAGGCGGUCUGAUAAGCCGGUUGUGAAAGCCCCGGGCUCAACCUGGGAACGGCAUCCGGAACUGUCAGGCUAGAGUGCAGGAGAGGAAGGUAGAAUUCCCGGUGUAGCGGUGAAAUGCGUAGUGAUCGGGAGGAAUACCAGUGGCGAAGGCGGCCUUCUGGACUGACACUGACGCUGAGGUGCGAAAGCGUGGGUAGCAAACAGGAUUAGAUACCCUAGUAGUC